rnacentral:rRNA from 1 species
AGCAGUCGCCGCGGUAAUACAGAGGGUGCGAGCGUUAAUCGGAUUUACUGGGCGUAAAGCGUGCGUAGGCGGCUUCUUAAGUCGGAUGUGAAAUCCCUGAGCUUAACUUAGGAAUUGCAUUCGAUACUGGGAAGCUAGAGUAUGGGAGAGGAUGGUAGAAUUCCAGGUGUAGCGGUGAAAUGCGUAGAGAUCUGGAGGAAUACCGAUGGCGAAGGCAGCCAUCUGGCCUAAUACUGACGCUGAGGUACGAAAGCAUGGGGAGCAAACAGGAUUAGAGACCCCAGUAGUCCCUGUCUCUUAUAU